CAGUAGCCGCGGUAAUACGUAGGUGGCAAGCGUGGUCCGGAAUUAUUGGGCGUAAAGGGCUCGCAGGCGGUUUCUUAAGUCAGAUGUGAAAGCCCCCGGCUCAACCGGGGAGGGUCAUUGGAAACUGGGAAACUUGAGUGCAGAAGAGGAGAGUGGAAUUCCACGUGUAGCGGUGAAAUGCGUAGAGAUGUGGAGGAACACCAGUGGCGAAGGCGACUCUCUGGUCUGUAACUGACGCUGAGGAGCGAAAGCGUGGGGAGCGAACAGGAUUAGAUACCCGCGUAGUCCCUGUCUCUUAUAC
rnacentral:rRNA from 1 species